AUGAAAAUCUAUCGCCAGCUAGAAGAAGGAUCUUGGGGAGAGCAUUGGCUAUGAGGAAGAAGAAGAUGCUGUUCAGUGCUUGGUCGAUAGACGGAAAUAUUUUCAUCAAGAGGUCAGAACAAGGGAUGGUUGAAAAAGUCGAGUCUCUGCAAACCCUGGACACAGCUUGAGAACUUGAGAACGGUACAAAAUGCAUAAUUACUGUGCGAUAUCAUCCCAGCACCCUCGACGGAUCAUUCGGCGUUUACAGUAGAAAUUAUGGCUGACUGUAACGUUAGAAGAGGGCCAUCUUUUUGGAAAUUUAAUAAUUCCUUAUUAGAAAACAGUGGUUACGUAAAUGAGUUAACAAAAUGCAUAGAUAUUUGGAAACAAGAGUUAGUUGAAGAAGGAAUUGAUAAUUCGCAAUUAAAGUGGGAGGUUAUGAAAUACAAGAUAAGGAAAUUUAGUAUUAGUUUUUCGAAAACAUUGGCGCGUAAACGACGGGAAAAUUACAGAGAAUUAGAAGAGGAGUUAAAAGUUAUUGAAAACAGUUGGGUGGACUGAAAAUGAUGAACUAUCAAAAAGGCAUGAAAUAGCAUUGCGUAAUUUGGAUGAGUUGAGUAAUUACUUACAGAAGGUUUAAUUAUCCGGUCGAAAGCUGAAUGGCACGAGUUAGGGGAAAAACACAGUAUUUUUUGUCCUUGGAGAGACGCAACAAAUCUAAAACUCAUAUUAAAAAAAAUUGUGGAAGAUGGUAAGGAACUUUCAGGGCAGGCAGAUAUCAUUCAAAAUCUUCAGAGUUAUUUCAGCAGG